rnacentral:rRNA from 1 species
GAUGAACGCUGGCGGCGUGCCUAAUACAUGCAAGUCGAGCGAACAGACGAGGAGCUUGCUCCUCUGACGUUAGCGGCGGACGGGUGAGUAACACGUGGAUAACCUACCUAUAAGACUGGGAUAACUUCGGGAAACCGGAGCUAAUACCGGAUAAUAUAUUGAACCGCAUGGUUCAAUAGUGAAAGACGGUUUUGCUGUUACUUAUCGAUGGAUCCGCGCUGCAUUAGCUAGUUGGUAGGGUAAAGGCUUAUCAAGGCAACGCGGGGUAGCCGACCUGCGAGGGUGAUCGGCCACACGGGAGCUGAAACACGGUCCAGGCUCCUGAGGGAGGCAGCAGUAGGGAAUCUUACGCAAUGGGCGAAAGCCUGACGGAGCAACGCCGCGUGAGUGAUGAAGGUCUUCGGAUCGUAAAACUCUGUUAUUAGGGAAGAACAGAUGUGUAAGUAACUAUGCACGUCUUGACGGUACCUAAUCAGAAAGCCACGGCUAACUACGUG